rnacentral:rRNA from 1 species
GUGAGGAAUAUUGGUCAAUGGGCGGGAGCCUGAACCAGCCAAGUCGCGUGAAGGAAGAAGGAUCUAUGGUUCGUAAACUUCUUUUGCAGGGGAAUAAAGUGCAGGACGUGUCCUGUUUUGUAUGUACCCUGAGAAUAAGGAUCGGCUAACUCCGUGCCAGCAGCCGCGGUAAUACGGAGGAUCCGAGCGUUAUCCGGAUUUAUUGGGUUUAAAGGGUGCGUAGGUGGUUUGAUAAGUCAGCGGUGAAAGUUUGCAGCUUAACUGUAAAAAUGCCGUUGAAACUGUCGGACUUGAGUGUAAAUGAGGUAGGCGGAAUGCGUGGUGUAGCGGUGAAAUGCAUAGAUAUAACACAGAACUCCGAUUGCGAAGGCAGCUUACUGGGAUGCAACUGACACUGAUGCACGAAAGCGUGGGUAUCAAACAGGAUUAGAAACCCGGGUAGUCC